ACAUCCAGAGAACUUAGCAGAGAUGCUUUGGUGCCUUCGGGAACUCUGAGACAGGUGCUGCAUGGCUGUCGUCAGCUCGUGUUGUGAAAUGUUGGGUUAAGUCCCGNAACGAGCGCAACCCUUAUCCUUUGUUGCCAGCGGCUCGGCCGGGAACUCAAAGGAGACUGCCGGUGAUAAACCGGAGGAAGGUGGGGAUGACGUCAAGUCAUCAUGGCCCUUACGGCCAGGGCUACACACGUGCUACAAUGGCGCAUACAAAGAGAAGCGACCUCGCGAGAGCAAGCGGACCUCAUAAAGUGCGUCGUAGUCCGGAUUGGAGUCUGCAACUCGACUCCAUGAAGUCGGAAUCGCUAGUAAUCGUAGAUCAGAAUGCUACGGUGAAUACGUUCCCGGGCCUUGUACACACCGCCCGUCACACCAUGGGAGUGGGUUGCAAAAGAAGUAGGUAGCUUAACCUUCGGGAGGGCGCUUACCACUUUGUGAUUCAUGACUGGGGUGAAGUCGUAACAAGGUAAGCGUACGUGU
rnacentral:rRNA from 1 species